GGUCUCGUGGUCUAGUGGUAUGAUUCUCGCUUUGGGCGCAACUCAAAGCUGCGAGAGGCCCCGCGUUCGAAUCGCGGCGGGACCC